rnacentral:rRNA from 1 species
AUUGAACGCUGGCGGCAGGCCUAACACAUGCAAGUCGAGCGGAUGAAGGGAGCUUGCUCCUGGAUUCAGCGGCGGACGGGUGAGUAAUGCCUAGGAAUCUGCCUGGUAGUGGGGGAUAACGUCCGGAAACGGGCGCUAAUACCGCAUACGUCCUGAGGGAGAAAGUGGGGGAUCUUCGGACCUCACGCUAUCAGAUGAGCCUAGGUCGGAUUAGCUAGUUGGUGGGGUAAAGGCCUACCAAGGCGACGAUCCGUAACUGGUCUGAGAGGAUGAUCAGUCACACUGGAACUGAGACACGGUCCAGACGCCUACGGGAGGCAGCAGUGGGGAAUAUUGGACAAUGGGCGAAAGCCUGAUCCAGCCAGGCCGCGUGUGUGAAGAAGGUCUUCGGAUUGUAAAGCACUUUAAGUUGGGAGGAAGGGCAGUAAGUUAAUACCUUGCUGUUUUGACGUUACCAACAGAAUAAGCACCGGCUAACUUCGUG